GCACCUGACCAGCCCUGCUUUGGUUCGACGUUAUAAAUAAAGUUUAAGCUUAAGUAUAAGCCCUGCCUCCGAGUCCUGCUUUGGGGUCCUCUGCUUUGCCUGCACCAGCAGAACGUGACAGUGGUGGUUCAGGAGGGUAAACUGGAUCUCAUCAUGAAUCCUGUGUUUCUCAAACUGAUCCAGGUCAAAUGGAAACUCUAUGGCAGGUUGGGGGCAUGGCUUCUCUUCAUCCUCAA